UGUUUUAGACUAAAAGACCUGGGGCCUCAUUUUUCAGCUGUGCGUACAAACAAAUGUGUGCGGAUGUAAUGCGUAAGAACACGCAAAGUGUGGAAUUUACCGACUUGUACUUACACUUAGGAAUGUGUGUAAAUAUAAGCACAAGUCUGGCCAUGCUUACUAACAGAAUCUAGUAGUAGAAUAGCAAUACUACAAAUAAAAAAAGCAUUUAAGAGUGUCACAGUAGGCAUCACGCAAUCAACAUCCACAUAUGUCUUGUGUUUCCUAAUAUUA